rnacentral:rRNA from 1 species
AACGAACGCUGGCGGCAUGCCUAACACAUGCCAGUCGAACGAGACCUUCGGGUCUAGUGGCGCACGGGUGCGUAACGCGUGGGAACCUGCCCUUAGGUUCGGAAUAACUCCCCGAAAGGGGUGCUAAUACCGGAUAAUGUCUUCGGACCAAAGAUUUAUCGCCUUUGGAUGGGCCCGCGUUGGAUGAGCUAGUUGGUAGGGUAAAAGCCUACCAAGGCGACGAUCCAUAGCUGGUCUGAGAGGAUGAUCAGCCACACUGGGACUGAGACACGGCCCAGACUCCUACGGGAGGCAGCAGUGGGGAAUAUUGGACAAUGGGCGAAAGCCUGAUCCAGCAAUGCCGCGUGAGUGAUGAAGGCCUUAGGGUUGUAAAGCUCUUUUACCCGGGAUGAUAAUGACAGUACCGGGAGAAUAAGCUCCGGCUAACUCCGUG